GGUUGUGGGUGAGUGAGUGAUCCUGUACUGUCGAGAAAAGCUUCGUGAGCGAGGUGGCGGGUCCGCCCGUACCCUAAACCGACACUGGUGGAUAGGUAGAGUAUACCGAGGCGAUCGAGUGAAUCGUGGUGAAGGAACUCGGCAAAAUGCCCCCGUAACUUUGGGAUAAGGGGGACCUGAGCUGUCGUGCACCCGUGCGGUGUGGUGGCGGUGAGGGGCGCAGAGUCCAGGGGGAAACGACUGUUUACCAAAAACACAGGUCCGUGCGAAGUCGUAAGACGAUGUAUACGGACUGACUCCUGCCCGGUGCUAGAAGGUUAAGGGGAACUGUGAGUGUGAUGCGUAGCGGUGAACUUAAGCCCCAGUAAACGGCGGUGGUAACUAUAACCAUCCUAAGGUAGCGAAAUUCCUUGUCGGGUAAGUUCCGACCUGCACGAAUGGAGUAACGAUUUCCCUACUGUCUCCACCAUGAACUCGGUGAAAUUGCAUUACGAGUAAAGAUGCUCGUUACGCGCAGCAGGACGGAAAGACCCCGGGACCUUUACUAUAGUUUGGUAUUGGUGAUUGGGACGGUUUGUGUAGGAUAGGUG
rnacentral:rRNA from 1 species